ACACGCAAGUCCACUGGGCUUCUUUAAAAUAAUUAAAUUGAGUGUUUACUUGGUUAUUAUAAUCUUUGCAACCACUGAAAUGUUUAGAUGUUAAUCUGAUAUUAGAGUCAUCACCAGACCAAAAAUGGUCAUUUGAUAAUGUAAAUGUGAAAUCUGGUUUCAAUGAGAAUAUUUUUACUGUCAUGGUAUAAAUAUUUGAGUGACAUUUUAAGCCUAACUCUCAGGCCACAAAAUGUUUCUUCACAUUAAAAAAAAAAAAAAUGAGAAUGGACAAUUAUGAGUAUGCUCCCCAACCCUCACCCUCUGGGUUUUCCUCUUGUGUCAACUCUUUCCUAUCUGUAUCUGAUAACUAAGUACCAUGCUUGAUUUUUAAGGGAUAAAGAAACUCAAGCUGUACUUAAACCCAGAUCUUUGGAAUAUUACAUGAAGGGAGCAAAUCUUCAACUCCAUGACUACAUCACCAACAUUUACAAGGAUACACUUAGAGGGGGCAGAGUUCAUGUUCAGCUGUACUUCCUAAAUGAAUUAACUCAUCUUUCACAGAAAAAUCAGUCUGACUCUUUAGAAGGUUGUAGAGCACUUUAUUUUUAAUUGUAUUCACUGAUUUAAUCAUUUGAACUAUUAUUCCUGCAACAGAAAAGGUAAUUUACUCAAUGACGCUGAAGUGUUGUGAUGGGAUACAGCUUCCUUCACACUGCAUAGGAAGGAAAUCUCUACUAUCUGCACAGCCUACCCGUGGUCUUCUCCCACAUGAUGUCCUGGGUCGGUGGGCAUUGCCCAUCAGCAGGACUCUUCCCAUCACAGAGGCAUUGUGUGGUGGCCUGCUGACUUCCCCCAGUGACUCAGACGUUGGCUCAUUUACUUGUUUAUAUAUUUGAAAUUUUCAUGAUCAGCUUACUUGACCAGUAACCUUUCCAUAGCCUAUUCUAGAACUAAAAAGAGAUGAAAUAAAUGGAAAAAAAAUGCAUAGCCCCUAACAAUUCCCUUCUGACUUAAUUUCCUUUAUGAGCAUUUAAUGGCACCCAAUAAGGGAGAAAUCUAUCCAGAAAAAAAUAAAAAUAAAUUUAUAAUAAAACAAACAGAAGAUAACAUGCAAAAUCCAAUUUCUUCAAAUUCAUUAAAAUGCAAAUAAUUAUUUUUUGAGAUAAAGGAAUGGAAAAUAACUAAAGACAAAGACGAAAGUUCUCCCUGAGGAAGGAGUAGAGACAGCAGCUGACUCACCAUCUCUCUGAUCUAGACUUGCAAACCCAAGGCCAUGGCUGCUGGGAGCUCCGAGGAGCCACCGAAGGACCCCAGGCAAGGCAGAGGCCAGCAAAGCAUCACAUUGUCUACAGAGAAAAGCCACUCGUGCAGCUGAGCACUCUGGGAGAAGCUCUCCUCUCUCUUCUUCCUGACAUCUCUCCUUUCUUUUUUGGUUGCCAGGCUAGAACUUGCACCAUCUUGGUCAUUAGCACAUUAGCCCUUGUCUAACAACAGGCUGAUACAGAAAAUAAAGGCCCUGGUUCCCAGCCUUUGCUAUUGCCCUAGUGUAACUGUUCCAAACAUGGCCAAGUCAAAGUCCUCCCUGUGAUGUCCUGAACGGGGGCUGGGAAGGCAUGCAGUCACCCACCACAGAGCACUUCCACCACGUACACAGAAGACAUGUAAACAGCCUGAAGAGCAGGAGUAACUGCAAGAUAGCACAAAAGAGGUGAGUUAGUAAGAGGUGAGUUUUGAUAAUUGAUCACCUGUGUAUUUUUUGAGGAGGGUAGUUACUGGGGAUUGAACUCAGGGGCACUCAACCACUGAGCACAUUCCCAGCCCUAUUUUGUAUUUUAUUUAGAGACAGGAUCUCACUGAGUUGCUUAGUCCUCUCUUUUGCUGAGGCUGGAUCAAACCCAGUGCCUCAUGCUUGCUAGGGCUAGGCAAGCUCUCUACCACUGAGCCCCAGCCCCAGCCCCCAUGGGGUCUUAACAAUAAUUUGACUGACUAUAAAUAGUCUGGCUGAUUAUAAAUAGUUUGACUAUAAAUUACAAAGUUAUCUCCCCUUAUUACUUACUGUUUCUGCAUUUCUUUUUGCUUCUGGUAUCACUGCCCUGCUGAUGUCAAAGUAGCUUUUAUUCCUUCCACAGCAAAUCGGUUCAUAUCACUAUCUUUGGUGGUUUAAAAUGUGACCUUGACGUUUCUAGGUGUGUUUUUUGUUUGUUGGGUGGUUUUUUUUUUUUUUUCCUUUUCAUUUAUCUAUCUCAGUAUAACAAAAGCUUCUAUAAUUAGAACACAUUAUGUUUUACUAGUAUUAGAAAGUUUUUCUGUUCUUUGCAAAUUUAUGGAACUGACUUUAUGGACAAAGAAGGAUGUAAAUAUUCCAUAAAUAAUUGAGGCUGCAUAAUAUUUUUCAAUUGUUAUAUAUAAGCCACAAAAAUCAAACUGGGAAAUAGUUUAUUAAAAUCUCCUCUAUAUUUAUCCUUUCAUUUUAAUUGUUUCCUAUGUAUCCAUUUUAACCAAUUAUUUUCCUUCUGCUCUCUUCCUUCUUCUUUGAGUUGACUUUAAUCUCCCACUCUAUUUUUUCUUUUAUUAGUUGGAAUCUCUCCAUCUUUUACCACUCCUUUGGCCAUCCUCCUUGAUAUAUUAUGCUGAUUCUGCCUAACAACUAACCAAAGCAUAAAAUUAAACAAAUUUCAACUCUCUUCACCAAAUAAUGUAGAAACCAAGAAUGCUUUAAUUCUGACUUCCUUUCCACCUUUAUUCCCAGUUAUUCACUUAGUCUUGCCUUCUUUGCUUUAAUACCACCAACUACACAGACAUGUUGUUUAUACACCUUUGCUAUUAUUUCAACUCUGCAAUUAGUUUCAGGAGCAUCAUUUGUGUAACAACUUCGGGAUUCUAACUACUCACACCUGCCCCUAUAAUGGCUUCCUUUCUGCCCCUCCCCCUCCGUCCAUUAGAAGGGUUGGUGGUCUGGCAUCCUCUUAAGUCUUAAAGAUUUUACUUUUCUGUGAAUGACUACCUUCCCACUACUCUUGGAAGCUAAAUCUAUCACCCUUGGUGUUUAUUCCCUCUCAGAACUCUGAGAGCUCAUGGGGCUGAGUGUUUCACUGUUUGCUAACUCUACCUUGGGCUGCUUUCUACAGCUUCUCUGUACUUCUGGUGUUGGACCUUUCCCCUAUGGUGGUGUUGGUGGUCUGAACUGGUUUCUUUUUAUUCCUAGGCAUUUCAAACUCUUCUGGACUCUCAAGAUUGGUGACCUGCUUGAAUGAUGAGAAUCCUUAUAAAUCGUCCAUUAUGUCUUUCCUCCUCCAGAACCCAGAUCAGAUGUGUGGAUCUCGUUGCUCUCCACCCUGCCCCUUUAACCCGUGUCUUAUAUUUUCCUUCUCUUUCUCUCUCUGGGGUGUAUGCUGGCUAUUUAUUUCAGAUUUGUCUUGAAGCGGCUGAGUCUUUCUCCACCUGUGUCUACUCUUCUGUUUGAGAAUUCACUGAAUUCUUGAUUUCAAUAAUUCACUUUUCAUGUCUAGAUAACAUUCUUUUCAAUUCUGCUUGAUCAUUUUCAUAUAAAGAAUGUUUCUUUAUAUGAAGGAAACUUUAUGUAAAAGAAAUUCUUUAUUUCAUUAUUCCUAUCUUCUGUUUCUUUAGACGUAUAACACAUUUUGGCAUUCUAAACCCAUUUUCAAUAUCUCCAUCCAUUUUGAUCUCAUCCUGUAUUCUGUUAUUUCCUCCUGUGAAGUAGUUUGUUUCCUUACGCAUUUAAAAUUUUUGUUUCUAUUGUGAGCUGUGGUGGCCAGACACCAUAUAUUUUUUCCAAGACUUUAGAAAUACCAGUCAGAUAACAAGCAGCCCACGUGUCCAGGGUCUAUUAUCAUCACACAGACACCUGGACAAUGGCUGGAGAAUCCUUUUCAGCUCACAUAAAGUAUGUGAAGUUGGAAGAAGAUUUAUGCUGUUAAUAGCAAGUUGAUCCAAACAGUUAAAAUCUGAGGGAUUACAUAUAUUAAUUUAAACUUCUUGGCACUUCUUUAUUUUUAGAGAU
rnacentral:lncRNA from 1 species